GUUAUUUGUCAUUAAAAAUAAAACAAAUCAAUUCUUCCUUAUUUUUAUAUGUUGUUGACUCAGAAUAGAAAAAGAAAGAAAAGAAAAGGUGAGAGAGAAAGAGAGAAAAGUAAGGGGAAAAUAUAAAAAAAAAGUCCAAGAAAAAAAAAUAAAAAAAGUGAGAGAAUGGUCUCGUAAACUUACAAAGUCCAACUUAUAAAACACUAC
rnacentral:lncRNA from 1 species